rnacentral:rRNA from 1 species
GGAAUAUUGGUCAAUGGGCGCAAGCCUGAACCAGCCAAGCCGCGUGCAGGAAGACGGCUCUAUGGGUUGUAAACUGCUUUUGUACAGGGAUAAUGUGCGAUACGUGUAUUGCAUUGCAGGUACUGUACGAAUAAGGAUCGGCUAACUCCGUGCCAGCAGCCGCGGUAAUACGGAGGAUCCAAGCGUUAUCCGGAUUUAUUGGGUUUAAAGGGUGCGUAGGCGGAAUAGUAAGUCAGCGGUGAAAGGUUAGAGCUUAACUCUGACAUUGCCGUUGAUACUGUUAUUCUAGAGUAUAUUUGACGUUGGCGGAAUGUGUCGUGUAGCGGUGAAAUGCUUAGAUAUGACAUAGAACACCGAUUGCGAAGGCAGCUAACUAAACUAUUCCUGACGCUCAUGCACGAAAGCGUGGGGAUCAAACAGGAUUAGAUACCCUGGUAGUCCACGCAGUAAACGAUGAUCACUCGUUGUCGGCGAUACACAGUCGGUGGCUAAGCGAAAGCGAUAAGUGAUCCACCUGGGGAGUACGUUCGCAAGUAUGAAACUCAAAGGAAUUGACGGGGGCCCGCACAAGCGGAGGAACAUGUGGUUUAAUUCGAUGAUACGCGAGGAACCUUACCCGGGCUUGAAAGUCACUGGAAUAACGGUGAAAGUCGUUAGCCUUCAAUGGCGAGUGUGAAGGUGCUGCAUGGUUGUCGUCAGCUCGUGCCGUGAGGUGUCGGCUUAAGUGCCAUAACGAGCGCAACCCUUACGGGUAGUUACCAUCAGGUUAUGCUGGGGACUCUACUCGGACUGCCGUCGUAAGAUGUGAGGAAGGUGGGGAUGACGUCAAAUCAGCACGGCCCUUACGUCCGGGGCUACACACGUGUUACAAUGGUCGGUACAGUGGGUUGCUACCUGGUGACAGGAUGCUAAUCUGUAAAGCCUCUCUCAGUUCGGAUCGAAGUCUGCAACCCGACUUCGUGAAGCUGGAUUCGCUAGUAAUCGCGCAUCA